AAACCCGGUCUGUUUACCAAAAACAUCACCUCUAUCAUUCUAAGUAUUAGAGGCAAUGCCUGCCCAGUGGGUUAACUUCAAAGGCCCAUGGUAUGCUACCUUGCAAAGGUAGCAUAAUCACUUGUCUCCUAAAUAGAGACUUGUAUGAAUGGCAAAACAAGGGUUU
rnacentral:ncRNA from 1 species